rnacentral:rRNA from 1 species
AUUGAACGCUGGCGGCAGGCCUAACACAUGCAAGUCGAGCGAGCGGCGGACGGGUGAGUAAUGUCUGGAAAACUGCCUGAUGGAGGGGGAUAACUACUGGAAACGGUAGCUAAUACCGCAUACCAUCAGAUGUGCCCAGAUGGGAUUAGCUAGUAGGUGGGGUAAUGGCUCACCUAGGCGACGAUCCCUAGCUGGUCUGAGAGGAUGACCAGCCACACUGGAACUGAGACACGGUCCAGACUCCUACGGGAGGCAGCAGUGGGGAAUAUUGCACAAUGGGCGCAAGCCUGAGGCAGCCAUGCCGCGUGUAUGAAGAAGGCCUUCGGGUUGUAAAGCACUUUCAGCGGGGAGGCGUUACUCGCAGAAGAAGCACCGGCUAACUCCGUGCCAGCAGCCGCGGUAAUUC